GGGCUCUCACUCUAAUAUAUGAGAAAUGAAGAAAUCGAGUUUGGAUCUUUUGUGGUGUGAAUUUUGUACCAUAAAAUUCUAUAUCAUCAUGGAUAGCUACCAUAUCAUCCAUUUGGGAGGUGAGAGGCUCUCACUCAUCUAAAAAUAUGUCCAAAUAUUUUUAGCAUGAUACACGGUGCAUCAUGAGGAUAAAGAAUAGCCAUCUCCAAAAUGGAUGAUAUAGCAGCUAUCCAUAAUGACACCAUAAAGAAUCCC
rnacentral:lncRNA from 1 species